rnacentral:rRNA from 1 species
UGGGUAACCUGCCUCAAAGAGGGGAAUAGCCUCCCGAAAGGGAGAUUAAUACCGCAUAAUAUGUUUAAGUCGCAUGACUUUAACAUCAAAGGAUUUUCUUUUAGAAAUUCCACUUUGAGAUGGACCCGCGGCGCAUUAGCUAGUUGGUGAGGUAACGGCUCACCAAGGCAACGAUGCGUAGCCGACCUGAGAGAAUAAUCGGCCACAUUGGAACUGAGACACGGUCCAGCUCCGUAGGAGG